rnacentral:rRNA from 1 species
GAUUCCCCCAGUAGCGGCGAGCGAACGGGGAGCAGCCCAGAGCCUGAAUCAGUGUGUGUGUUAGUGGAAGCGUCUGGAAAGGCGCGCGAUACAGGGUGACAGCCCCGUACACAAAAAUGCACAUGCUGUGAGCUCGAUGAGUAGGGCGGGACACGUGGUAUCCUGUCUGAAUAUGGGGGGACCAUCCUCCAAGGCUAAAUACUCCUGACUGACCGAUAGUGAACCAGUACCGUGAGGGAAAGGCGAAAAGAACCCCGGCGAGGGGAGUGAAAAAGAACCUGAAACCGUGUACGUACAAGCAGUGGGAGCACGCUUAGGCGUGUGACUGCGUACCUUUUGUAUAAUGGGUCAGCGACUUAUAUUCUGUAGCAAGGUUAACCGAAUAGGGGAGCCGAAGGGAAACCGAGUCUUAACUGGGCGUUAAGUUGCAGGGUAUAGACCCGAAACCCGGUGAUCUAGCCAUGGGCAGGUUGAAGGUUGGGUAACACUAACUGGAGGACCGAACCGACUAAUGUUGAAAAAUUAGCGGAUGACUUGUGGCUGGGGGUGAAAGGCCAAUCAAACCGGGAGAUAGCUGGUUCUCCCCGAAAGCUAUUUAGGUAGCGCCUCGUGAAUUCAUCUCCGGGGGUAGAGCACUGUUUCGGCAAGGGGGUCAUCCCGACUUACCAACCCGAUGCAAACUGCGAAUACCGGAGAAUGUUAUCACGGGAGACACACGGCGGGUGCUAACGUCCGUCGUGAAGAGGGAAACAACCCAGACCGCCAGCUAAGGUCCCAAAGUCAUGGUUAAGUGGGAAACGAUGUGGGAAGGCCCAGACAGCCAGGAUGUUGGCUUAGAAGCAGCCAUCAUUUAAAGAAAGCGUAAUAGCUCACUGGUCGAGUCGGCCUGCGCGGAAGAUGUAACGGGGCUAAACCAUGCACCGAAGCUGCGGCAGCGACGCUGAUGCGUUGUUGGGUAGGGGAGCGUUCUGUAAGCCUGUGAAGGUGUGCUGUGAGG